rnacentral:lncRNA from 1 species
CGCUUUGUUCUUGAAUCCUCCCCAAAGUCCAGUGAAGUAAGUCCUGUUAUUGUCAACUGUCCACCCCAUUUUACAGAUAGGAGAACUGAAGAUUCAGAAAGCUAACUCUGGCCGGGCGCGGUGGCUCACGCCUGUAAUCCCAACACUUUGGGGGGCCAAGGCGGGAGGAUUGCUUGAAGCCAGGAGUUCGAGACCAGUCUGGGUAACAUAGAGUGACACCUGUCUCUACAAAAA